ACGAACGCUGGCGGCGCGCCUAACACAUGCAAGUCGAACGGAGCUUAGAGAGCUUGCUUUUUAAGCUUAGUGGCGAACGGGUGAGUAACGCGUGAGUAACCUGCCCUAGAGUGGGGGACAACAGUUGGAAACGACUGCUAAUACCGCAUAAGCCCACGGUACCGCAUGGUACUGAGGGAAAAGGAUUUAUUCGCUUUAGGAUGGACUCGCGUCCAAUUAGCUAGUUGGUGAGGUAAUGGCCCACCAAGGCGACGAUUGGUAGCCGGACUGAGAGGUUGAACGGCCACAUUGGGACUGAGACACGGCCCAGACUCCUACGGGAGGCAGCAGUGGGGGAUAUUGCACAAUGGGGGAAACCCUGAUGCAGCGACGCCGCGUGGAGGAAGAAGGUUUUCGGAUUGUAAACUCCUGUCGUUAGGGACGAUAAUGACGGUACCUAACAAGAAAGCACCGGCUAACUACGUG
rnacentral:rRNA from 1 species